UACGUAGGGGGCAAGCGUUAUCCGGAUUUACUGGGUGUAAAGGGAGCGUAGGUGGCAUGGUAAGCCAGAAGUGAAAACCCGGGGCUCAACCCCGCGGAUUGCUUUUGGAACUAUCAGGCUGGAGUGCUGGAGGGGUAAGCGGAAUUCCUAGUGUAGCGGUGAAAUGCGUAGAUAUUAGGAGGAACACCGGUGGCGAAGGCGGCUUACUGGACAGAAACUGACACUGAGGCUCGAAAGCGUGGGUAGCAAACAGG
rnacentral:rRNA from 1 species